GUAAGAGAAAGGGAGAGAGUGGUGUUGGGAGUUGGAGGUGUGGGAGAGUUGGGCAAGAAUUAUGACCUUUGUUCAAUCCAAAGGGGCAAUUCUUACCAACCCCUCCCAUACCCUUGAUUUCCAACCGUUGCUCCCCUUCCCUGCCUUGGAUC
rnacentral:pre_miRNA from 1 species